GCCUGGAUGGCUCAGUCGGUUGAGCAUCCGACUUCAGCUCAGGUCAUGAUCUUGGAGUUUGUGGGCUCGAGCCCUACAUCAGGCU
rnacentral:tRNA from 1 species